rnacentral:rRNA from 1 species
UACGGGGGGGGUAAGCGUUGUUCGGAAUUACUGGGCGUAAAGGGCUCGUAGGCGGCCAACUAAGUCAGACGUGAAAUCCCUCAGCUUAACUGGGGAACUGCGUCUGAUACUGGAUGGCUUGGAUUCGGGAGAGGAAUGCGGAAUUCCAGGUGUAGCGGUGAAAUGCGUAGAUAUCUGGGGGAACACCGGUGGCGAAGGCGGCAUUCUGGACCGAUAUUGACGCUGAUGAGCGAAAGCCAGGGGAGCAAACGGG